UCGAAUGAAGGUUGAAAACGAGAGAGGUGGACACAGGACAAAAAGCGAAAGCAGGAGAGAGGAGUCUUUCUUCCAGCGUAAUUAGUUUUUAGUUAGCCCCAAAGCUAAACUACGACACAAACUCUCCCGAGUAGUUGAACACCUGAGUAGCCCCCGCACAGCGCUGCCUCCCUAAUGCCACGGUCGUCAACAUGAACAUCGGACGGCGCGUGGUUACGUUUGUCAAACUUUACCAGCUCUGAAAAGUUUGUUUUAGGGAGUAGGUCCAGGCAUUGAUAAAACACGAACAGAAACCUUGUCGUCAAGCGGCUCUCUCACCGCCUCUCUUCGUGUCUGAAUACGUCUGUGAGGAGGGAUAGAGUCGGUCUGUCCGGUGGUUACCUGACUCCAGUCAUUACCGAGAGGCCAGCCCUCCACACAGCAGCAGCAGCGGCGGCAGCAGCAGCAGCCUCAUGUUUCCUGUUGAUCUGAAUAACUGCAAACCAGAUACACAGCUUCGAAAGUAACAGGUUAAGGUGCUCAAGGCCCUUAUCAUGGUACCAGCACUGAUGAGGUUGACUGUGGGUAUCCAUCGCUAAUGCAGGUUAACUUAUGCCGGUGCCCUUUGUUAAGGAGCGCGGGGUCAAAACAUUUUGGUGACACCCAGCCGCUGGGUUGACUCGUGCCAUAUUUAUAAGGUAGGUUUUUGUGGAGUUUACCAUUUAAUUUGAAUGAUCAGUCAGAUUUAUAUACACUACCCAUCUCUCUGUGUAUGCAGGAUUUCAGGUCUAGCUGUUUUGUUCAGUAUGGAUUGUUUUGUUCCUUGUGUCUUAUGUAUUUGACAAGGACAGAUUGGUUGGACUUGUAUUGAGGAGUAAUUAAUUGGGAGAACAUUUCGUUUGUAACUUAAUAAUACUGGCCCAAGUUUGCCUUCAUACUAUUCACACCAAAAAAAGUGUCCUCAUGUAUUACAUCAUGUCACUACAUGUAUUGACUCUGGUGUGGGAAAGACGGACCAAAGGCACCAUUCAAAUACUUGAGAGCUUCAUGAAAUACAACUAGGCUAAGCUAUUUUUAUGGUUAUUUCAUUAUGACUUACUCAUGUAUAAUUUAUACUACAAUAUAAUUCAGUCUCAUUUUAUCACGAUUAAUUGCUUUUUUAAUUCCCCCAAAUCUGGUGUAUGCACCCCUGAAGUACUAUUGUUACAACGUCUUUAGAGAUGGUCACGGUUUUAGAUGCAUGAAUUACAGCACUGCUGACCUGUACUGUAUCUUCUUUUAUAAUCCCAUUUUCCUAAAAAUCUGAUUAAUUCUUUAUGGCUGAAAUUCCCCAGCAUGGCAAUUUUAAGUGAGAAUGUCCUUGGCGGUGAUCCACAGUGAUAGUGUAUGAAAUGAGCACAUCUACUGACUCGGCCUACUUCUGAUUUCCCAAGACAAGAGAGUCUCUACAUUAAGAAACACGCACUGGCUCUUAUCAAACAGCUUCUCCGUAACGCCAUGGCCACUCAGUCUCUCUGUCCUUUUUGUGUGCAUGUGUUUGUGGGGGGAGGUAUUUGUCAGUAUAGCAAGCUUUGCUUAACAAUACUGCAUGCAUGUGCUUUUGUGAUCUGUGUGUUCAUGCAAAGUGUACCAGCACCUUCUAUAGAGUGCUCUUUGUUCCCUUGUGUGUGCGUUUGUAUGUGCUUUUGUAGCAUACUGUAGAAAAAGCACUAUUUGUUUCUGUUUGUUCUUGUUUUUUUGUUCACACAAGUCAAGUGUAAAAGGGGACGACAUCAGUGGUUGCUAAUGUGAGGUUCAUGUGUACUACUUACAUUUUGUGAGUCAAAAAUGUUGUGGAAACCUCUGACAGCUGGAUGCCAGUUGGUUUGGUUUUAACAUAGCAUACUUAAAGUGGCUUAUUUGUAUGUCUAUGGUUGUGUGAAUAGGAUUGCAUGCUAACAGAUAUUGGCUUUUGCAAUACCCGGAUAUGGCAUCUAUGGAAUUGGUUGGAUUAGAGAUCAUGUUAGCAGCUAAUUAAGAGGCAUGGUUAUGGUUUGGGUCAGUUAACUAAGACAAACAACAUUGAUCACAUUUUUAGUUUCUAUGGUGAACAUGUUUAUAUGCAGGGAGCUACUGUUCACCUGUGAGAUGGCUAUAUAUCUGCUGUUAGG